GGUAAAAUGGCUGAGUAGGCAUUAGACUGUAAAUCUAAAGACAGAGGUAAAUAAUCCCUCUUUUUACCA
rnacentral:tRNA from 1 species